rnacentral:rRNA from 1 species
UACGGAGGGUGCAAGCGUUAAUCGGAAUUACUGGGCGUAAAGCGUGCGUAGGCGGUUCGUUAAGUCUGUUGUGAAAGCCCCGGGCUCAACCUGGGAAUGGCAAUGGAUACUGGCGAGCUAGAGUGUGUCAGAGGAUGGUGGAAUUCCCGGUGUAGCGGUGAAAUGCGUAGAGAUCGGGAGGAACAUCGGUGGCGAAGGCGGCCUUCUGGACAGUGACUGACGCUGAGACGCGAAAGCGUGGGGAGCAAACAGG